rnacentral:rRNA from 1 species
GGAUGCGAUCAUACCAGCACUAAAGCACCGGAUCCCAUCAAAACUUCGUAGUUAAGCGUGCUUGGGCGAGAGUAGUACUAGGAUGGGUGACCUCCUGGGAAGUCCUCGUGUUGCAUUCC